AUUGAACGCUGGCGGCAGGCCUAACACAUGCAAGUCGAGCGGAUGAAGGGAGCUUGCUCCUGGAUUCAGCGUCGGACGGGUGAGUAAUGCCUAUGAAUCUGCCUGGUAGUGGGGGAUAACGUCCGGAAACGGGCGCUAAUACUGCAUACGUCCUGAGGGAGAAAGAGGGGGAUCUUCGGACCUCACGCUAUCAGAUGAGCCUAGGUCGGAUUAGCUAGUUGGUGGGGUAAAGGCCUUCCAAGGCGACGAUCCGUAACUGGUCUGAGAGGAUGAUCAGUCACACUGGAACUGAGACACGGUCCAGACUCCUACGGGAGGCAGCAGUGGGGAAUGUUGGACAAUGGGGGAAAGCCUGAUACAGCCAUGCCGCGUGUGUGAAGAAGGUCUUCGGAUUGUAAAGCACUUUAAGUUGGGAGGAAGGGCAGUAAGUUAAUACCUUGCUGUUUUGACGUUACCAACAGAAUAAGCACCGGCUAACUUCGUG
rnacentral:rRNA from 1 species